rnacentral:lncRNA from 1 species
ACCACCGCUCCCUCCGUCGGCGACACCACUACUGUCGGUGCCACCUCUCUCCAGCGACCCUGCUCACACCGGCGACAUCAACAAGUAAGUAAACCCUUCUCCCUCUUUGUGAAUAGUAUUUCCGUCACCAUUUUGCGGCCAUAACUCCGGCGUCUGAUGGUGGAUUUUCAAAAACUUGGUGUCAAAAGAAGUAUCUUCCCAUUGUGCACAAACCCCAACUGAUUUUAUCACCAAAUCUAUAACCAAU